CUUUGUUCUCGUUGGUUUCAAAGAACAUCUUUAUUUCUGCCUUCAUUUCGUUAUGUACCCAGUAGUCAUUCAGGAGCAGGUUGUUCAGUUUCCAUGUAGUUGAGUGGCUUUGAGUGAGAUUCUUAAUCCUGAGUUCUAGUUUGAUUGCACUGUGGUCUGAGAGAUAGUUUGUUAUAAUUUCUGUUCUUUUACAUUUGCUGAGGAGAGCUUUACUUCCAACUAUGUGGUCAAUUUUGGAAUAGGUGUGGUGUGGUGCUGAAAAAAAUGUAUAUUCUGUUGAUUUGGGGUGGAGAGUUCUGUAGAUGUCUAUUAGGUCUGCUUGGUGCAGAGCUGAGUUCAAUUCCUGGGUAUCCUUGUUGACUUUCUGUCUCGUUGAUCUGUCUACUGUUGACAGUGGGGUGUUAAAGUCUCCCAUUAUUAAUGUGUGGGAGUCUAAG
rnacentral:lncRNA from 10 species